rnacentral:rRNA from 1 species
GGAGGGUGCAAGCGUUAUCCGGAUUCACUGGGUUUAAAGGGUGCGUAGGUGGGCAGGUAAGUCAGUGGUGAAAUCUCCGAGCUUAACUCGGAAACUGCCAUUGAUACUAUCUGUCUUGAAUACCGUGGAGGUCAGCGGAAUAUGUCAUGUAGCGGUGAAAUGCUUAGAUAUGACAUAGAACACCAAUUGCGAAGGCAGCUGGCUACACGAAUAUUGACACUGAUGCACGAAAGCGUGGGGAUCAAACAGGAUUAGAUACCCUGGUAGUCCACGCCCUAAACGAUGGAUACUCGACAUACGCGAUACACAGUGUGUGUCUGAGCGAAAGCAUUAAGUAUCCCACCUGGGAAGUACGAUCGCAAGAUUG